rnacentral:rRNA from 1 species
UAGGGAAUCUUCCACAAUGGACGAAAGUCUGAUGGAGCAACGCCGCGUGAGUGAAGAAGGUUUUCGGAUCGUAAAGCUCUGUUGUUGGUGAAGAAGGAUAGAGGCAGUAGCUGGUCUUUUAUUUGACGGUAAUCAACCAGAAAGUCACGGCUAACUACGUGCCAG